UUUUUUUUUUUUUUUUUUUGUCUUUUAUUUUUUGCCGUUUCUUGAGCCGCUCCGGCGGCAUGUGGAGGUUCCCAGGCUAGGGGGUCUAAUCAGAGCUGUAGCCACAGCCUACGCCAGAGCCACAGCAAUGCAGGAUCCAAGCCGUGUCUGCAACCUACACCACAGGUCUCAGCAACACCGUAUCCUUAACCCACUGAUCAAGGCCAGGGAUUGAACCCACAGUCUCAUGGUUCCUAGUCGGAUUCGUUAACCACUGAGCCACGAUGGGAACUCUCCGAGUUGAGUUUUCUUGUUUGUGUAUCAAUUAUAGAUUUUUGGUUUGCAGUUAUUCUGAAGUUUUGAUAUGAGUCUUUAUAUAUACAAGAUUGUUUUAAGUUGUUGUUCUCUUAAUUGCAUGUGUAUCUUGGAUGUCUUACAUUUGUACCCUCCUCUUCUCACGAUUUCUUUUUUUUGUUGUUGUUUUGUUUUGUUUUGGGUUUUUUUUUUUUUUUUUUUUUUUUGUCUUUUUGCCAUUUCUAGGGCUGCUUCUACGGCAUAUGGAGUUCCCAGGCUAGGGGUUGAAUCGGAGCUGUAGCCACCGGCCUACGCCAGAGCCACAGCAACGCGGGAUCCGAGCCGCGUCUGCAACCUACACCACAGCUCACGGCAACGCCGGAUCGUUAACCCACUGAGCAAGGGCAGGGACCGAACCCGCAACCUCAUGGUUCCUAGUCGGAUUCGUUAACCACUGCGCCACGACGGGAACUCCGAGAAGUUCCUUUAGUAGUUGUUGUAAAGCUGGUUUAGUGUUGCUGAAUUCUCUUAGCUUUUGCUAAUCUGUGAAGCUUUCAAUUUCUCCUUCAAAUCUGAAUGAGAGCCUUGCUGAGUAGUCUUGGUUGGAGGUUUUUCCCUUUCAUCAUGUUAAGUAUAUCAUGCCACUCCCUUCUGGCCAGCAGAGUUUCUGCUGAAAAAUCCUCCAUAAACUUAUUGGGGUUCCCUUGUAUGUUAUUUGUUUCUUUUCCCUAGCUGCUUUCAAGAUUUUCUCUUUGUCAUUAAUUUUGGUCAGUGUGAUUAGUAUGUGUCUUGGGCUGUUCCUCUUGGGGUUUAUUUUAUAUGGACUCGUUGUACUACCUUGAUUUGAGCGAGUGGUUCCUUUCCCAUGUUAGGAAAGCUUUUGGCUAUUAUGUCUAAGAACAUUUUUUCUGUCCCUUUCUCUUCUCUUUCUGGCAACCCUAUAAAAUGGGUGUUGGUGCAUUUAACAUUGUCCCAGAGUUCUCUGAGAUUCUCUUCAUUUAUUUUCAGUCUUUUUUCUCUUUUCUGUUCUGCACCCAUGAUUUCCACUAAUCUGUCCUCCACCUCAUUUAUUCAUUCUUCUGCCUCCUGUAUUCUUCUGUUGGCUGCUUCUAAUGAAUUUUUUAAUUUCAGUUAUUGUAUUUCACAUCUCUUCUUGUUUAAGUUUUAUAUCUUGUAUCUCUUUGCUCAGUGUUUCCCGCAAGUUAUCCAUCUUUACCUCCAGUUUAUUUCCAAUGUCUUUAUCAUCUUCACUAUCAACAGUCUAAAGUCUUUUUCCUGGAGGCUGAAAAUCUGAUCACUUAGCUGUUUUUCUGGGGUUUUUUCUUGCUCCCUUAUCUGCGUUAUAGUUCUCUGUCUUUUCAUUUUUAUGGGUUUUUGGUGCGGUGACCUUUUUACAGAUAAUAGGGUUAUAGCCUCUUUUACUUCUUGUGUCUGCCCCCCUUGUGGCUGAAGUUGGUACAGGGGCUUGUUGUAGGCUUCCUGACAGGAGGGACUGGCGCCUGCCCACUGGUAGGUGGAGCUGAUUCUUAUCCCUCUGGUGGAUGGGGCUUUGUCUCUGGGUGAGAUUAGAGGUUGCUGUGUGCCUGGGGGGUCUUUAGGUAGCCUGCUUACUGAUGGGUGGGGCUGUGAUCUCACUUGGAUUGUUGUUUGCCCUGGGGCUUCUCAGUGCUGAUGGGUGGGGCUAGAUUUUCCCCAAAUGGCCACGUCCAGAGAAAGGCAUGCUGCUGAAUAUUCCUGAGAGCUUUGCUUCCAAUGUCCUUCCCCACAACAAGCCACCUUCACCCCUGUUUUCCCAGGAGGUCCUCCAAGAACUGCGGUCAGGUCUGACCCAGAUUCUUAUGGAGACUUUGCUUUGCCCUGGGCCCCCGUGCAUGUGAAAGUCUGUGUGUGCCUUUGAAGACUGGGGAGUCUCUAUUACCCCCAGUCCUAUGGAGCUCCUGUGCAUAAGCCCCACUGGCCUUCAAUGCCAGAUGCUCUGGGGGCUCUUUCUCUCAGUGCCAGAUCCCCACAAGUGGGAGUUUGAUGUGGGGCUCAGUACUCUCACUCCUGUAGGUGAGUCUCUGUGAACCAGUUACUUUCCAGUCUGUGGGGCUUGCGCCUGGGAGGUAUGGAAUUGCUUAUAUCGCAAAAUAGCCCCUGCUAUCUCUUCAUGUUGCCUCCUUUUUGUUUUCUGGAGCAGGAUAUCCUGGCUCAUAAACUGCUAACUUUCCUGGUGGGGAGAGAAAGGGUACAGUAUGCAGGGGCCUGGGCUGGUUGGAAAGGCACAGUCAGGUCACUGGGAGAGUGAGUGCUAGAAAGGAUUUGGGUGACAGUGAGUUCCUUUGCCCCUGCACUUCCUUCCCUAGAGGCAGUGUUUUUCUCCUUAAAUCAGCUUAUUUGCUCCUACCAUCCAGCCAUACAAAUGUCUCACUCUUUUCUCCAUGUUGUCCUCUUUUAACUCCAACAUAGGGCAAAACAUAGGGUGGUAAGAGGCCAAUCUUUUUUUUUUUUUUUUAUAGUUGAUUUACAGUAUUCUGUCAGUUUCUGCUGUUCAGCAAAGUGUCCUAGUUAUACAUGUAUAGGCAUUCUUUUUUUCACGUUUUCCUCCUAUCAUGUUCCAUCACAAGUGACUGGAUAUAGUUCCCAGUACUAUGCAGCAGAACCUCAUUGCUUAUCCACUCCAAAUGCAGUAGUUUGCAUCUACUAACCCCAAGCUCCCAGUCCCUCCCUCUCCCUCCCCCUUCCUCUUGGAAACCACAGGUCUUUUUUCCAUGUCCAUGAGUUUGUUUCUUUUCUGUAGAUAGGUUCAUUUGGGUCAUAAAUUAGAUUCCAGAUUUAAGUGAUAUCAUAUGCUGUUGGUCUUUUUCUGACCUCACUUAAUAUGAGAGUCUCUAGUUCCAUUUGUGUUGCUGAAAAUAGCAUUAUUUUGUUCUUUCUUAUGGGUGAGUGUAGUCCAUUGUGCGUAUGUACUACAUCGUUUUUUGGGGGGUUUUGUUUUGUUUUUGUUUUUUGCUUUUUAGGGCCACACCCAUGGCAUAUGGAAGUUCCCAGGCUAGAGGUUGAAUUGGAGCUAUAGCCGCUGGCCUACACCACAGCCACAGCAACUGGAGAUGUGAGCCGCAUCUGCGACCUGCACCACAGUUCACUGCAACACCGGAUCCCUGACCCACUGAGCAAGGCCAGGGAUUGACCCGCAUCCUCAUGGAUACUAGUCAGAUUCAUUUCCCCUGAGCCACCAUGGGAACUCCCCAUAUGUCUUCUUUGGAGAAGUUUC
rnacentral:lncRNA from 1 species